AACAAAGGGCAACCGAAUAUUUUUUUCUCCCCUGACAGUUUCAGGGGAAGUGGUGGUUUUCUUUAAACGGGGACCAUAUUUUAAUCCAGCAGUUAUUGCAUUCUUUAAUAUUUUGUUGCAUGUACUGUAUAUAGGUUUAUAUAUAGUUAAUGAAUAGCUAUGCAGCAAUAUUCCAUAAUGCAUAAGACUUAAAGCUUUGGUUCACACUGUUCUUCGAGCUAUUGAAUAUAAUGACAUGAUCUGAUUUUCUUCGAGGUACGGAGUUACCGCCUUUGUUUUUAGGUAGGCUGCCUUGUGAAAUAAUGAAUAUGAUUCAAACUAUUUAAUACACCAACAUAAGAGCUGAAUAAAAUGAGCACACAAUCACGCACUGCAGCAAAUGACCACAAAACCAUACUGAAGAAUUUAAGACAAACAACAAAAGCACAUGCGUUGAAGGCAUUCUUUUUCUAAAAUAUCAAAUGCAAGAAAGCCAGCAUGACUCCACAGCAAAUACGUAACGUAUAG